rnacentral:rRNA from 1 species
CCUACGGGAGGCAGCAGUGGGGAAUAUUGCACAAUGGGGGGAACCCUGAUGCAGCGACGCCGCGUGAGUGAAGAAGUAUUUCGGUAUGUAAAGCUCUAUCAGCAGGGAAGAAAAUGCCGGUACCUGACUAAGAAUCCCCGGCUAACUACUUUCCAGCAGCCGCGGUCAUACGGAGGGGGCAGGAGUUAUCCGGGUUUACUGGGUGUAAAGGGAACGUAGACGGUUAUGCAAGUCUGAAGUGAAAGCCCAAGGCUCAACCAUGGGACUGCUUUGGAAACUGGAAAACUGGAGUGCAGGAGAGGUAAGCGGAAUUCCUAGUGUAGCGGUGAAAUGCGUAGAUAUUAGGAGGAACACCAGUGGCGAAGGCGGCUUACUGGACUGUAACUGACGUUGAGGCUCGAAGGCGUGGGUAGCAAACAGGAUUAGAUACCCUAGUAGUC